rnacentral:rRNA from 1 species
UACGGAGGGUGCAAGCGUUAUCCGGAUUUACUGGGUUUAAAGGGUGCGUAGGUGGGUAGGAAAGUCAGUGGUGAAAUCUUCGGGCUUAACCCGGAAACUGCCAUUGAUACUAUUUAUCUUGAAUACCGUGGAGGUAAGCGGAAUAUGUCAUGUAGCGGUGAAAUGCUUAGAUAUGACAUAGAACACCAAUUGCGAAGGCAGCUUACUACCCGAAUAUUGACACUGAGGCACGAAAGCGUGGGGAUCAAACAGG